rnacentral:lncRNA from 1 species
GUUUGAAUUGAAUUGUUUGAAUUGAAUUUUUUAUUGAAUUAUUUUAAUUGAAUUGUUUUUAUUGAAUUUUUUAUUGAAUUAUUUUAAUUGAAUUGUUUGAAUUGAAUUGUUUGAAUUGAAUUUUUUAUUGAAUUAUUUUAAUAGAAUUGUUUGAAUUGAAUUGUUUUUAUUGAAUUAUUUUAAUUGAAUUUGAAUUGAAUUGUUUAAUUGUUUUAACCCUUCCCUCCCCAGAUUACAGCCAGACGGCGACGCAGAGCUACGGCGCCUACCCCGCCCCCCCCAGCCAGAGCUACUCGCAGGGUGGGGGGCAGGGCUACUCCCAGCAGAGCUACGGCGGCUACGGCCAGGGCUCGGACACGGGCUACGGCCAGGGCGGCUACAGCGGCUCCUACGGCCAGAGCCAGAGCGGUUAUUCGGCGCCGGCGGCUCCUCCCUCCUACGGCUCCGGCGGCUUCGGCUCCGCCCAGAGCUCCCAGGGCAGCUACGGCCAGAGCUCAUCUUACCCUGGGUAUUCCCAGCCCCCUGCGGCUCCAUCCGCCUCAGCCAGUUACGGCAGCGGCUCCGGCAGCUCCAGCUACGGCCAAGCCCCGAGCGGGGGCUACAACCAACAGAGCGGGGGCUACAGCCAGCAGAGCUACGGGCAACAGUCGUCCUACAACCCUCCCCCGAGCUACAGCCAGCAGGGCCAGUACAGCUCCGGCGGCUCCGGAAGUUACUCCCAGGAUUCCUCGCUGAGCUCCGGGGGGUUCCAGGAGCCGGGCGGGAAUUUCGGAUCCUCGGAGCGCGGGCGCGGCCGCGGCGCCUUCGGCUCCCGGGGCGGCUUCGAGCGCGGGCGCGGCCGCGGCAACCGCGGGAACAUGGGCGGUGGUGAGCGUGGUGGCUUCAAUAAAUUUGGUGGUAAGUCCCAAAAAAAAAAACAAAAAUUUGAGGUUUUGACCCCUCCAAAAAGCGAAAAAAAAGGAAAAAAUUUGGAUUUUUUUCUAUUUUUUAUUUUUUUGUAAAAAGCGAAAAAAAAGGAAAAAAUUUGGAUUUUUUUCUAUUUUUUAUUUUUUUGUAAUUUUGUUUUUUUUUUCCCCCGUUUUUCCUGGAACAAAAAAGGAGUUUUAGGUGGAAAAAGGUGAUAAAAAAGCGAUUUUUUUGGGGAAAAAACGGUGAUGAAAAAGAGGUUUUUUGGGAAAAAAGGUGGAAAAAAAAGUUGGUUUUUGGGAAAAAAAAGGUGGUUUUUAGUUAAA